rnacentral:rRNA from 1 species
GAUGAACGCUAGCGGGAGGCCUAACACAUGCAAGCCGAGCGGUAUUGUUUCUUCGGAAAUGAGAGAGCGGCGUACGGGUGCGGAACACGUGUGCAACCUGCCUUUAUCUGGGGGAUAGCCUUUCGAAAGGAAGAUUAAUACUCCAUAAUAUAUUGAACGGCAUCGUUUAAUAUUGAAAGCUCCGGCGGAUAGAGAUGGGCACGCGCAAGAUUAGCUAGUUGGUGAGGUAACGGCUCACCAAGGCAAUGAUCUUUAGGGGGGCUGAGAGGGUGAUCCCCCACACUGGUACUGAGACACGGACCAGGCUCCUACGGGAGGCAGCAGUGAGGAAUAUUGGUCAAUGGGUGCAAGCCUGAACCAGCCAUCCCGCGUGAAGGACGACUGCCCUAUGGGUUGUAAACUUCUUUUGUAUAGGGAUAAACCUUUCCACGUGUGGAAAGCUGAAGGUACUAUACGAAUAAGCACCGGCUAACUCCAUGCCAGCCGCCGCGGUAAUAC